rnacentral:tRNA from 1 species
AAGAAUAUAAUGGAAUUGAACCACUUAAAAAAAGUUAGCAGCUUUUUUUAGCUCCUGCUAUUUAAUUCU